rnacentral:lncRNA from 1 species
CACUGGAAUUCAAGACCAAUGCCCUAUCACUGAAGCUGAGUAGUUUUGCAAAUUCACACCAUGGCGAUGCAGUACUCCUCGACUGACAGACCUCUUCUUCCUGGGCGUGGGUGUCCCUGAGCCUUCCAGAUCCCUGUAUCAGCAGAGCUUCUGAACAACGCGCUGACCAGGCCUUUAAAGGAAAAGUCAUCAAAACCCAGGAAAAUCUAAGAAACCGUCACAGCCAACAGGAGCCUGAGGAAACAUGACAGCUAAACAUAAUGUGGUAUUCUAGAUGGAAUCCUGGAAUAGAAAAAGGACAUCAGAAAGAGCUUCAUAGAAAGGAAACUGAGGCAGUGUUGGGGCAAGAAUCCUCUUUGUGGUGAUUUCUUAGCACAGAGCCAUUGAAACGUUUGCAAAAUAGCAAAGGGUUCCAGAUGGGAGGGGCCGCUGUUCAAAAUCCAGACCACCCAACGGGCACAUCAGACUCAUAGAACGUUAUCCAAGAUGGGAGAGAGAACGCCAGGAAAAGGAUCCACCCAGAGCAGCACCGUGGAUGCUGUUUGGGCGCACACAUACCGCCUGGGAUCCUGUGAAAAUGCAGAUUCUGAAUCAGCAGGUCUAGGGCGGGGCCCAAGAACCUGCACUUCUGAAAAGCAAUCAAGGAGUGGACAACUCUUUGAGGGGCAGGGAUCCAGAUUCAAUGUUGUUCGACCGUUUCCAUUUUGCAGCACAUCUGUAAAUUUGCCCAAGUUACAGAAAAUAUAGUCCAAACAGAUGAUCAGGG